rnacentral:rRNA from 1 species
UACGUAGGGUGCAAGCGUUGUCCGGAAUUAUUGGGCGUAAAGAGCUCGUAGGCGGCUCGUCGCGUCGACCGUGAAAACCCGCGGCUUAACUGCGGGCUUGCGGUUGAUACGGGCGGGCUAGAGUUCGGUAGGGGAGACUGGAAUUCCUGGUGUAGCGGUGGAAUGCGCAGAUAUCAGGAGGAACACCGGUGGCGAAGGCGGGUCUCUGGGCAACAACUGACGCUGAGGAGCGAAAGCGUGGGGAGCGAACAGG